CCAGAUUUUCAGGUUAUUAAUUAUGAAAAAUAUUAAUAACAUUCCACCCAUGAGGCCACUAUUCAUUUGACUGCAGGAAAUGGCUACAGCAUUUGCAGACUGUCUGUCAGAUUCAGUCUUUAACGGUUAUCACGUUACACUGUGCGACGUUACCAAAUUAAAAUCUUGAUAUCAACCUGGCCAGAUUGUAUGAUUUGCUUCAGUUCUGUCGUCACAUUCUGCAAUUUGCCUGCAGCGGUGUAUUUGAUCUCAAUGCUUAUGCGUGAGUUCUGAAUAAAUUCAAGUAGGCAUCUUAGAAAUAGUUUUCAAAUACAAACGUUAUAUGUCCUAACAAUUAAUUUGAUUGGCGAUUUUGUGCUUUUAUCGAAAUCCCACCAGGUAGCCUAAUUUCAGAUGUGUCAUAUAAACAAGAUUAUUUACAGGGAAAUCAUUCUUCUUACACAGCACGUAGGCUAAACAUUUAAUUCAAACUACUAUAUUAAUCUGACUAUUCACAAUCAUUUUAUUGUUGUGUGUGUACUCAAUGGCGGCCGUCUUCUUAUUGGUCAGUCACUGGGAUCAGCUCAUAACACCAGCCACACUACGCGAUAGAGGACAAAAUAUGUGGACACCACUAGAACUUUGUCUGAGCCUACGAUUGAAUGUAGCGGUACUUAAUCGGCACUUAAUCGGCAGACCUAGACCCUGUCACACUGAACGAGCCAAGAUGUCCGACAAUCGUUUACUACCUAAGAAUUUGUCCACAACGUGGAAAUUUUGUCUGGGACGGCAAAGUCGUGGCAUAAAAUGGACGAAAUUGUACCGUCUGCAAAGGACGUACGAAACAUAACAUAUCAUACCAAGUGGAGUGUCCCAGAUAUACAUUUACUAUGUUACGUCUAGUCUGAGACCAGGCUGCUAGGGGAGGAAUGCUUGUUUCAAUAGAUAAUUGUUCAGCUGUCACAUUCACAUGCCUGCUGCAGCUAUUAGAAUGCAUAUGAUAAUCUGGACUCUUUGAUAUAUUGCACUAAUUAGGACAUACUAACCUUUGAAAUGGCAUGCAUCUCACACAUUGCCAUCUAACCUGCCUGGGAACUCUGUGGUGCUCCGGGGUGAAGUUUCUCCCAGGUGCAGAUCUAGGAUCAGCUUCCCCUCUCACAACCCUAAUUAGUAAGGAACAUGCAAAACUGACCCAAAAUCAGCAUCUAGGGGCAUCUUCACCGUACACCAGUUGGAGGUGGUGGGGGAGGGGGAUAUGUGGUGGUGGGGGGUAUUCUAUGGUGGUAUGCUAUUUUCCGGGUGUGUUUUGAUCAACCUUUGGUUAGAGCACUGUCUGCUUUAGGUUUCUUGAAACCUACUAAACCCUGAUGCAUGCUGAAAUAACAACCCUGACAAUGCUGAGUAGGCGAUGAAGAAAAGGAAUGACUCUACACCCACACCUUUCUAUUCUUGGUUUUGUGAAAAGUGAUCACUAAAGAAGAACCUUUGAAACCUCUGCUGAGAAGAGCGAUCUCUUCUGUUGAUUGUCCAGCAACUUUGCUGUUAAUAUGGAAAAUAUAUGUUGCUUUUUGUCCUCUCCCCUCUUCUUUUCUUCAUCCUUUUUUGAAGGAUGGGAAUUAAAGGCUAUUGCUCAACUCUGCCUGUGAAUAGCACGCUGCAUUACACCAAACACAAGUGCCUAUGUGAAUCUUUAGUCCCCGCCCACUUCGCUUUCUAUCUGCUGUCUUACUGGUGGCGUCUAUCCUUUGAUUAGAGCAGGAAUGAUUCAUUCUGGAUUCUGAGACUCUGAUAGUCACUAAGGAAUGUUUGAAGAUAAUACAUCAAUGCUUAUUAUAGAGUAUGACGUGUGGGGUUUGCAAAAACAGUUCCCGAAAAAAGUAAGGUUGGGAACCACUGGUUUAGAAGAAAUGGAUGACCAUUGCAAUACCAAUACAGUAAGGAAGUGUUUAAAUAGCUAUUAUGGGUGAAGGGAUAGGGAAGGGUUGUGUUGUUUUUCAUUGUUUUAAAAUGUGAAACUGUGAUUUAAAGCCAAGACAAGUGAUUUGCAUGCAAAGGCCCCCUCUACCCAAGUCUUGGUCUGUGUGGCCACUGUCCAUUGUGAGCCAGUCCCAGACACUGAGUAAUGUAACAAAUGCCAAUCAGUAACAUCCGAAUAGCCUAAUGAUGGCAUUCUGAAUGCUGAGGAAACCAUAUAUCUCACUCCUGUCCUGACUCUGACGAUCAUUGGGGCUUUUGUCACUUUAUAAGUAUGUAACCAAUGCACACUGACAAUGAAUGGGCUUCUUUUCAUAUGGGACUGGAGCUCGGUUGUUAGAAUGGCUAAAGUGGAAUAUGUGUAUGACAACCCGUAGUGAUUUUUGUAGAGAGAUUGAAAUGUUUUGUUUAAACAUGACGUUUUUGGGCUUUUAAACUCUUGACUAUUAAAAGCCAGUUUGUCUAAAACCAA